AUUCAGGCAUGAGAAGAGGAUAAAUCAAGGAAAUUUACUCAUAUAGGUGGUUCAUGGCUUCAGUAAUGAGGACACAUCAAUGUGGGACAUGUUCUUUAUUGUUUGUGAAGAACUGAUGGUUCAUCUUUUGGAAAAACACAAACCAGCUGUCAAAAGGCCUUUAUUUGUGCAAUAGUUCAGAUUACAGCACCAUUGGGCAACCCCUGUGAAGGAUCAUCCACUUUAACUUUCUGAGAUGCUGGUAUUUCAUCACUUUUGCUGAGGUUCCAGGUGGUUUGGUUCUCUGGAACUGACAAUGGCCCCUUACCAGGUCUGCUUCUGAUUCGAAUAAGCAGAGUGAAAGAAAAGCUUUCUUCUCAGUGCACCUGGGCAGUCCCAUAUGCCAAGAGGCCAUGGAGGACAACGGUGAAGCAUGGGGAUUCCAGGGUCAAUCUGGGUUUUAAUUUGCCCUCCAUCACCUAUUUGCUAUGUGAAUUGGGCUAUUUGCUUGACUAGUCAGUGCUAAAUUUCCUUUCCUGAAAUAAGGGGUAAUCAUAAUACCUGGAUCAUAGGUCAUUGGUGGGUUAAAUUUAUUUAUUCAACAAACAUUUAAAGGAUGCUGCUAAUUGUCAAGUAUACUUGC
rnacentral:lncRNA from 1 species